rnacentral:rRNA from 1 species
GGUUAAGCGAAUAAGCGUACACGGUGGAUGCCUAGGCAAUCAGAGGCGAUGAAGGACGUGCUAAUCUGCGAAAAGCGUCGGUAAGGUGAUAUGAACCGUUAUACCCGACGAUAUCCGAAUGGGGGAAACCCAGUAUCCAAUGGAUACUAUCAUUAACUGAAUCCAUAGGUUAAUGAGGCGAACCGGGAGAACUGAAACAUCUCAGUACCCCGAGGAAAAGAAAUCAACCGAGAUUCCCUAGUAGCGGCGAGCGAACGGGGAGCAGCCCAGAGUCUUAAUCAAUAGCAGUGUCAGGAGAACGGUCUGGAAAGUCCGGCAGUAAAGGGUGAUAGCCCGUAUCUGAAGAUGCUGUUGUUGUGAACUCGACGAGUAGGGCGGGACACGUGUUAUCCUGUCUGAAUAUGGGGACCAUCCUCCAAGGCUAAAUACUCCUGAUUGACCGAUAGUGAACCAGUACCGUGAGGGAAAGGCGAAAAGAACCCCGGCGAGGGGAGUGAAAAAGAACCUGAAACCGUGUACGUACAAGCAGUAGGAGCCUCUUUAUGGGGUGACUGCGUACCUUUUGUAUAAUGGGUCAGCGACUUAUAUUCUGUAGCAAGGUUAACCGUAUAGGGAGCCGUAGGGAAACCGAGUCUUAACUGGGCGAAUGAGUUGCAGGGUAUAGACCCGAAACCCGGUGAUCUAUCCAUGGGCAGGUUGAAGGUUGGGUAACACUAACUGGAGGACCGAACCGACUAAUGUUGAAAAAUUAGCGGAUGACUUGUGGAUGGGGUGAAAGGCCAAUCAAACCGGGAGAUAGCUGGUUCUCCCGAAAGCUAUUUAGGUAGCGCCUCGUGAACUCAUCUUCGGGGUAGAGCACUGUUUCGACUAGGGGGUCAUCCCGACUUACCAACUCGAUGCAAACUGCGAAUACCGAAGAAUGUUAUCACGGGAGAGACACGGCGGGUGCUAACGUCCGUCGUGAAGAGGGAAACAACCCAGACCGCCAGCUAAGGUCCCAAAGUCAUGGUUAAGUGGGAAACGAAGUGGGAAGGCUCAGACAGCCAGGAUGUUGGCUUAGAAGCAGCCAUCAUUUAAAGAAAGCGUAAUAGCUCACUGGUCGAGUCGGCCCGCGCGGAAGAUGUAACGGGCUAAACCAUGCACCGAAGCUGCGGCAGCGACACAAAGUGUUGUUGGGUAGGGGAGCGUUCUGUAAGCCUGCGAAGGUGUACUGUGAGGUAUGCUGGAGGUAUCAGAAGUGCGAAUGCUGACAUAAGUAACGAUAAUGCGGGUGAAAACCCGCACGCCGGAAGACCAAGGGUUCCUGUCCAACGUUAAUCGGGGCAGGGUGAGUCGACCCCUAAGGCGAGGCUGAAAAGCGUAGUCGAUGGGAAACGGGUUAAUAUUCCCGUACUGGUGGUAACUGCGAUGGGGGAACGGAGAAGGCUAGGUUGUCCGGGCGACGGUCGUCCCGGUUCAAGCAGGUAGGCAGAGUGAUUAGGCAAAUCCGGUCACUUAAUGCUGAGAUGUGAUGACGAACCACCAAGGUGGUGAAGCAAUUGAUGCCCUGCUUCCAGGAAAAGCCUCUAAGCUUCAGGUUACCAACAAUCGUACCCCAAACCGACACAGGUGGUCAGGUAGAGAAUACUCAGGCGCUUGAGAGAACUCGGGUGAAGGAACUAGGCAAAAUGGUGCCGUAACUUCGGGAGAAGGCACGCUGGCGGUAGGUAAAGUCCCUUGCGGACGGCGCUGAAGCCAGUCGAAGAUACCAGCUGGCUGCAACUGUUUAUUAAAAACACAGCACUGUGCAAACACGAAAGUGGACGUAUACGGUGUGACGCCUGCCCGGUGCUGGAAGGUUAAUUGAUGGGGUUAGCGUAAGCGAAGCUCCUGAUCGAAGCCCCAGUAAACGGCGGCCGUAACUAUAACGGUCCUAAGGUAGCGAAAUUCCUUGUCGGGUAAGUUCCGACCUGCACGAAUGGCGUAAUGAUGGCCAGGCUGUCUCCACCCGAGACUCAGUGAAAUUGAACUCGCUGUGAAGAUGCAGUGUACCCGCGGCAAGACGGAAAGACCCCGUGAACCUUUACUAUAGCUUGACACUGAACAUUGAGCCUUGAUGUGUAGGAUAGGUGGGAGGCUUUGAAGUGUGGACGCCAGUCUGCAUGGAGCCAACCUUGAAAUACCACCCUUUAACGUUUGAUGUUCUAACCUAGGCCCAUAAACUGGGUCGGGGACCGUGUCUGGUGGGUAGUUUGACUGGGGCGGUCUCCUCCUAAAGAGUAACGGAGGAGCACGAAGGUUGGCUAAGCAUGGUCGGACAUCAUGCGGUUAGUGCAAAGGCAUAAGCCAGCUUGACUGCGAGAGUGACGGCUCGAGCAGGUACGAAAGUAGGUCUUAGUGAUCCGGUGGUUCUGAAUGGAAGGGCCAUCGCUCAACGGAUAAAAGGUACUCCGGGGAUAACAGGCUGAUACCGCCCAAGAGUUCAUAUCGACGGCGGUGUUUGGCACCUCGAUGUCGGCUCAUCACAUCCUGGGGCUGAAGUAGGUCCCAAGGGUAUGGCUGUUCGCCAUUUAAAGUGGUACGCGAGCUGGGUUUAGAACGUCGUGAGACAGUUCGGUCCCUAUCUGCCGUGGGCGUUGGAAGAUUGAGAGGGUUGCUCUAGUACGAGAGGACCGGGUGAACGCACCACUGGUGUUCGGGUUGUCAUGCCAAUGGCGUUGCCCGGUAGCUAAGUGCGGAAGAGAUAACCGCUGAAAGCAUCUAAGCGGGAAACUUGCCUCGAGAUGAGUCUUCCCUGUCGCUUUAAGCGACCUAAAGGAACGUUUAAGACUAAGACGUUGAUAGGCUGGGUGUGUAAGCGUAGCGAUACGUUGAGCUAACCAGUACUAAUGAACCGUGAGGCUUAACCUG